rnacentral:rRNA from 1 species
AGAUUAAGUUAUUAAGGGCGCACGGUGGAUGCCUUGGCACUAGAAGCCGAUGAAGGACGUUACUAACGACGAUAUGCUUUGGGGAGCUGUAAGUAAGCUUUGAUCCAGAGAUUUCCGAAUGGGGAAACCCAGCAUGAGUUAUGUCAUGUUAUCGAUAUGUGAAUACAUAGCAUAUCAGAAGGCACACCCGGAGAACUGAAACAUCUUAGUACCCGGAGGAAGAGAAAGAAAAUUCGAUUCCCUUAGUAGCGGCGAGCGAAACGGGAAGAGCCCAAACCAACAAGCUUGCUUGUUGGGGUUGUAGGACACUCUAUACGGAGUUACAAAGGACGACAUUAGACGAAUCAUCUGGAAAGAUGAAUCAAAGAAGGUAAUAAUCCUGUAGUCGAAAAUGUUGUCUCUCUUGAGUGGAUCCUGAGUACGACGGAGCACGUGAAAUUCCGUCGGAAUCUGGGAGGACCAUCUCCUAAGGCUAAAUACUCUCUAGUGACCGAUAGUGAACCAGUACCGUGAGGGAAAGGUGAAAAGCACCCCGGAAGGGGAGUGAAAUAGAACCUGAAACCGUGUGCUUACAAGUAGUCAGAGCCCGUUAAUGGGUGAUGGCGUGCCUUUUGUAGAAUG